GACGAACGCUGGCGGCGUGCUUAACACAUGCAAGUCGAACGAAGUGGCGAACGGGUGAGUAACGCGUAAUCAACCUGCCCUUCAGAGGGGGACAACAGUUGGAAACGUCUGCUAAUACCGCCUACUGAAGGCGGGGAUUGCGUCUGAUUAGCUAGUUGGAGGGGUAACGGCCCACCAAGGCGAUGAUCAGUAGCCUGUCCUGGAGGAUGAACGGCCAAAUCGGGACUGGGAAACGGGCCAGUAUUCGACGGGAGGGCGCAAUGGGGGAAUAUCCGCAAAGGGCGAAAAGCCGAAGGAGCCAAGGCGGGGGGGAUAUGAAGGGCUUUGGGUUGGAAAACUCUGUUAAUCGGGACGCGGUACCGGAAUAGAAAGCCACGGCUAACUACGUGCCAGCAGCCGCGGUAAUUC
rnacentral:rRNA from 1 species